rnacentral:misc_RNA from 1 species
CACCCCUCAAGCCCCGCGCUUGGUGUUGGGGGACGGCGCGAGGCCGGUGCCGCCCACCGCGGCGGCCCGGCUCGCCGCCCCUGAAAUGCAUUGGCGGUCUCGGCGCCGCCUCCCCUGCGCAGUAGCACAGCAGUCUCGCAACGGGAGCGCGCCGCGGCCACGCCGUAAAACGCCCAACUUUAUACAG